rnacentral:rRNA from 1 species
GAUGAACGCUGGCGGCGUGCCUAAUACAUGCAAGUCGAGCGAACAGACGAGGAGCUUGCUCCUCUGACGUUAGCGGCGGACGGGUGAGUAACACGUGGAUAACCUCCCUAUAAGACUGGGAUAACUUCGGGAAACCGGAGCUAAUACCGGAUAAUAUAUUGAACCGCAUGGUUCAAUAGUGAAAGACGGUUUUGCUUUCACUUAUAGAUGGAUCCGCGCCGCAUUAGCUAGUUGGUAAGGUAACGGCUUACCAAGGCAACGAUGCGUAGCCGACCUGAGAGGGUGAUCGGCCACACUGGAACUGAGACACGGUCCAGACUCCUACGGGAGGCAGCAGUAGGGAAUCUUCCGCAAUGGGCGAAAGCUUGACGGAGCAACGCCGCGUGAGUGAUGAAGGUCUUCGGAUCGUAAAACUCUGUUAUUAGGGAAGAACAAAUGUGUAAGUAACUAUGCACGUCUUGACGGUACCUAAUCAGAAAGCCACGGCUAACUACGUG